AACGAACGCUGGCGGCAUGCCUAACACAUGCAAGUCGAACGAGACCUUCGGGUCUAGUGGCGCACGGGUGCGUAACGCGUGGGAACCUGCCCUUAGGUUCGGAAUAACUCCCCGAAAGGGGUGCUAAUACCGGAUAAUGUCUUCGGACCAAAGAUUUAUCGCCUUUGGAUGGGCCCGCGUUGGAUUAGCUAGUUGGUAGGGUAAAAGCCUACCAAGGCGACGAUCCAUAGCUGGUCUGAGAGGAGGAUCAGCCACACUGGGACUGAGACACGGCCCAGACUCCUACGGGAGGCAGCAGUGGGGAAUAUUGGACAAUGGGCGAAAGCCUGAUCCAGCAAUGCCGCGGGAGUGAUGAAGGCCUUAGGGUUGUAAAGCUCUUUUACCCGGGAUGAUAAUGACAGUACCGGGAGAAUAAGCUCCGGCUAACUCCGUG
rnacentral:rRNA from 1 species